rnacentral:rRNA from 1 species
CCUACGGGAGGCAGCAGUGGGGAAUGUUGCGCAAUGAUCGUAAGAGUGACGCAGCGACGCCGCGUGAAUGACGAAGGCCUUCGGGUCGUAAAGUUCUUUCGACAGGGAAGAAAAUGCCUAUAAGUAACUGUGUAUGUAUUGACGGCACCUGUAUAAGCAGCCCCGUCUCACUCCGUGCCAGCAGCCGCGGUAAUACGGAGGGGGCGAGCUUUGUUCGGAGUGACUGGGCGUAAAAGGUGGGUAGGUGGUGUUGUAAGUCAUUCGUCAAAGACUGGAGCUAAACUUUAGUAAGGCUGGGGAUACUAGCAUACGAGAGUAUACGAGAGGAUUGCGGAAUUCCUGGUGGAGCGGUGAAAUGCGUAGAUAUCAGGAGGAAUACCGUUGGCGACGGCAGCACACUGGCUGGCAACUGACGCUGAGGUGCGAAUGCGUGGGUAGCGAACAGGAUUAGAUACCCCAGUAGUC